rnacentral:rRNA from 1 species
AACGAACGCUGGCGGCAUGCCUAACACAUGCAAGUCGAACGAGACCUUCGGGUCUAGUGGCGCACGGGUGCGUAACGCGUGGGAACCUGCCCUUAGGUUCGGAAUAACCCCCCGAAAGGGGUGCUAAUACCGGAUAAUGUCUUCGGUCCAAAGAUUUAUCGCCUUUGGAUGGGCCCGCGUUGGAUUAGCUAGUUGGUAGGGUAAAAGCCUACCAAGGCGACGAUCCAUAGCUGGUCUGAGAGGAUGAUCAGCCACACUGGGACUGAGACACGGCCCAGACUCCUACGGGAGGCAGCAGUGGGGAAUAUUGGACAAUGGGCGGAAGCAUGAUCCAGCAAUGCCGCGUGAGUGAUGAAGGCCUUAGGGUUGUAAGGCUCUUUUACCCGGGAUGAUAAUGACGGUACCGGGAGAAUAAGCUCCGGCUAACUCCGUG